rnacentral:misc_RNA from 1 species
AACUAACGCUAUUAUUGAUACAGUUUCUGUACUAUAUUGGUAUGAGAAGCUUCCGGCAUAACACUUCCAGUGUUUACCGGGUAAUUUUGGACACAAACCU